rnacentral:rRNA from 1 species
AAUAGAUACCCAGGUAGUCCACGCCGUAAACGAUGGAUGCUAGCUAUUGGGGGGAAUCGACCCCCUCCGAAGCGAAGCUAACGCGUUAAGCAUCCCGCCUGAGUAGUACGAGCGCAAGCUUAAAACUCAAAGGAAUUGACGGGGACCCGCACAAGCGAUAGAGCGUGUGGUUUAAUUCGAUGGUAAACGAAGAACCUUACCAAGGUUUGACAUCCCGGUAGCCGUUCUCCGAAAGGAGAAUUUCAUUUAGUUGGACCGGUGACAGGUGAUGCAUGGCCGUCGUCAGCUCGUGUCGUGAGAUGUUGGGUUAAGUCCCGCAACGAGCGCAACCCUUAUGAUUUAGUUGGAUUUUUCUAAACAGACUGCCCUGGUAACAGGGAGGAAGGAGGGGAUGAUGUCAGGUCAGUAUUUCCCUUACACCUUGGGCGACACACGCGCUACAAUGGCCGGUACAAUGGGCAGCUAAGCCGCGAGGUGGAGCAAAUCCCAUCAAAGCCGGUCCCAGUUCGGAUUGCAGGCUGAAACCCGCCUGCAUGAAGCCGGAAUCGCUAGUAA